rnacentral:lncRNA from 1 species
GAAAAUCGGUAUGUAGCAAUGCUGGCUGAAGAGCUCAAAAGAAUUUCUGUGAAUUUUCAGGAAGAUGACUUGGCGGUAUAUUGAUUGUGUUUAUCACUGGAGAGAUGGCUUUUGCAAGAGCGAAGAAAAGAUGAUCAAUGGAAAACUAAGGCUAGAAAGCUGGGCAGAUGACAGGAUUGGCUAACUGGCAUCUUCUUUCUUCGUCUACCACAAACACAGAAGGAGAUUAUUUUGAGAUGCUCCCAGGGAAUGCUUGUUAAAAGGAAGAAGCGCUUCUCUCUGCGUCUGGUGAAGCUAGCCCCAAAGGAGACAAAGUACCAAACCGCCCUGGCCAGAGACGAUGCCUCCUGGCGCUCGCAGAAUUGUCAUAUUUCCCCCAGUGUCCCAAAUACUGUUGGAAGAUGGCUGUCCAUGUAUCUUUUAAUGAAUUCACCAGAUGGAGAAGUAAAUGGGGAGCAUAACAUACAGAAAUCUCUAUCUAAGAUCUGCCAGCCACUCACAGAGAAUGAUUCCUGCCUGAAUUAGGACCUUCAGUGGCCCAGUCAUCCAGCGACUUCCCUGGAGCCGAGACAGUCGCAGGCCUGUCCAGAGUCCGCAAUGGCUGCAGCAGGAGGAGAAGUGGCUUCCAAAGUGUCCUGCAGUGAGACCCUGCCGUCUGGCCAGGGUCAUUAUCUUACCUGCAGGUCUGCCACUAAGCCAGUUCCCACCUCAACUGACCUUCCAAAUUUGGGACAGGAGGAGUCACCCUUCCCGCACGGCACCCAUGGGCUGCGCCAAGGCAGGUCUGGGGUCACAUUGGCCCAGAAAACUGCAUGCAGAAGUCCGGUGGCCCCCUCGGACUGAUGAGGUCAGCUGAAGCAUGCGGGCUCCAACCGCUCGACAAAUUCCCACGUUGUGUGGGAGUGAGUGUGGAGGUAGAGUCUGUUUCUUUGAGUUUGAAAACAGCAACUUCAGCUAUAGGGACAAUGUUGCUUUUAUAUAGAGAUAGAUUCAUUUGGCAUGCUGAGACAAAUGUUCUGGAAAUAUUCAAGGGUAACAGAUUCAGGUAAAACAAGCUGGAAACAAAUACAGUAGAGUACAUCAUAAUAAUGAAUUUCAUUGCUUCUGGAGCUUUAUUUAUGCUAAAACACUUUAUUU